GAGGUCUGAGCAGUCGUUGGUUCGAUGGGCUACUCCUCAGCUCCAUGACAUUGACGCAUUGGACAAGAUGGUCGAUCCAGCCCUUGAGGGUCUCUACCCUGCAAAAUCACUCUCUCGUUUUGCUGAUGUGGUUGCCCUCUGUGUUCAGACGGAGCCCGAAUUCAGGCCUCCGAUGUCGGAGGUGGUGCAAGCGCUGGUUCGACUGGUGCAGAGGGCGAACAUGAGCAAGCGAGUGCUUGGUGGAGACGUUCAAGAUGCAUCGUUUUGACGGGCUAUAUAUAGUUUAUUUAUUUAUUUUUCGUUCUUUCGAG
rnacentral:misc_RNA from 1 species